UACGAAGGGGGCUAGCGUUGUUCGGAAUUACUGGGCGUAAAGCGCACGCAGGCGGCUCGAUAAAUUAGAAGUGAAAGCCCCGGGCUUAACCUGGGAAUUGCUUUUAAGACUGUCGGGCUAGAAUCCAGAAGAGGGUAGUGGAAUUCCGAGUGUAGAGGUGAAAUUCGUAGAUAUUCGGAAGAACACCAGUGGCGAAGGUGACUACCUGGUCUGGCAUUGACGCUCAUGUGCGAAAGCGUGGGGAGCAAACAGG
rnacentral:rRNA from 1 species